rnacentral:rRNA from 1 species
CCUACGGGUGGCAGCAGUGAGGAAUAUUGGUCAAUGGCCGGAAGGCUGAACCAGCCAUGCCGCGUGAAGGUCAGUGCCCUAUGGGCGUUAAACUUCUUUUGUGCGGGAGCAAUAAUGGUCACGUGUGGCCAGACGAGAGUACCGUACGAAUAAGCAUCGGCUAACCCCGUGCCAGCAGCCGCGGUAAUACGGGGGAUGCAAGGGUUAUCCGGAUUUAUUGGGUUUAAAGGGUGCGUAGGCUGGGAGGUAAGUCAGCGGUGAAAUGCCCCCGCUCAACGGGGUGAAGUGCCAUUGAUACUGCCUGGCUGGAAUGCGGAUGCCGUGGGAGGAAUGUGUGGUGUAGCGGUGAAAUGCAUAGAGAUCACACAGAACACCGAUUGCGAAGGCAUCUCACGAAUCCGCGAUUGACGCUGAUGCACGAAAGCGUGGGUAUCAAACAGGAUUAGAUACCCCUGUAGUC